rnacentral:pre_miRNA from 1 species
UUUGUACUCCAUUCAUCCGAAAAUACUUGUCAUCAAAAUGGAUAAAAAAGAUGUAUCUAGAACUAAUAUAUAUCUAGAUACAUCACCUUUUAUUCAUUUUGAUGAUAAGUAUUUUCGGACGGAGGGAGUACUUG